AGUCCUGUAGCUCAAGGGUGGAGCAUCUGUCUUACAAACGAGGGUUGCAGGUUCAAAUCCUGCCAGGACUACCA
rnacentral:tRNA from 1 species